rnacentral:rRNA from 1 species
CACGUAGGGCGCAAGCGUUGUCCGGAAUUAUUGGGCGUAAAGAGCUCGUAGGCGGACUGUCACGUCCGCUGUGAAAAGCUAGGGCUUAACCCUGGCCUUGCAGUGGAUACGGGCAGACUAGAGGUAGGUAGGGGAGAAUGGAAUUCCCGGUGUAGCGGUGAAAUGCGCAGAUAUCAGGAGGAACACCGGUGGCGAAGGCGGGACUCUGGGCCGAUACUGACGCUGAGGAGCGAAAGCGUGGGGAGCAAACAGG